rnacentral:lncRNA from 1 species
AAAUGAAUUAAAUGAUUAAUUUUUCGGUUUUAUAAACCAAAUGUGAUUUAAUGAAAUGAUUUCAUAAAAUUGUUUUAAAAUUGAAUAAUGGCUUUGAAAAUAGAGUAAUUGGAGACCAUUUGAUGUAUUGUGAAUUUAUGGUUCUAAUUGAUUGACUUAUGACAAUAUUGGCAUGAAUGGCUGAAUUGAUAUUUGUGUUGAAAUGUAUAAACUGUUGUUUGCCUUGAUAGGCUGG